rnacentral:rRNA from 1 species
AUGGUCAAUAAAACCAUCAAGUUCAAGAAGGGCAAGGGUAAGAAGAACUUCAAGAAGGACGGCAAAGAUGUUGCCGCGCCCGGUAAGCCAGUUGCCGGAAAGAAGUUAAAGAAUGGACUCAAGCCUGAGACUGAGUGCUUUUAUUGCAAAGGGAAGGGUCACUGGAAGCGGAACUGCACCAAAUACUUAGCGGACAAGAAGGCCGGCAACAUUAAAGGUAUAUUUGAUAUACAUGUAAUUGAUGUGUACCUUACUAGUACUCGUAGUAACUCCUGGGUAUUUGAUAACGGUCCCGUUGCUCAUAUUUGUAACUCACAUCAGGAGCUGCGGAAUAAGCAGAGACUGGCGAAGGACGAGGUGACGAUGCGAGUCAGGAAUGGUUCCAAGAUCGAUGUGAUCGCCGUCGGCACGCUACCUCUACAUUUACCUACGGGAUUAGUUUUAAACCUCAAUAAUUGUUAUUUAGUGCCAAGUUUGAGCAUGAACAUUGUAUCUGGAUCUCGUUUAAUGCGAGAUGGCUACUCAUUUAAAUCCGAGAAUAAUGGUUGUUCUAUU